rnacentral:rRNA from 1 species
CCUACGGGAGGCAGCAGUAGGGAAUCUUCCGCAAUGGACGAAAGUCUGNCGGAGCAACNCCGCGUGAGUGAUGAAGGCUUUCGGGUCGUAAAACUCUGUUGUUAGGGAAGAACAAGUGCUAGUUGAAUAAGCUGGCACCUUGACGGUACCUAACCAGAAAGCCACGGCUAACUACGUGCCAGCAGCCGCGGUAAUACGUAGGUGGCAAGCGUUAUCCGGAAUUAUUGGGCGUAAAGCGCGCGCAGGUGGUUUCUUAAGUCUGAUGUGAAAGCCCACGGCUCAACCGUGGAGGGUCAUUGGAAACUGGGAGACUUGAGUGCAGAAGAGGAAAGUGGAAUUCCAUGUGUAGCGGUGAAAUGCGUAGAGAUAUGGAGGAACACCAGUGGCGAAGGCGACUUUCUGGUCUGUAACUGACACUGAGGCGCGAAAGCGUGGGGAGCAAACAGGAUUAGAUACCCUGGUAGUCCACGCCGUAAACGAUGAGUGCUAAGUGUUAGAGGG